rnacentral:lncRNA from 1 species
GGGAGAUGUAAGCAUUCAGCCUAUAGCACAAUACAAAAGGAAGAUUUUUAUUUGUGUCUCUACCUACUAUUCCUGAGUCCUGAAACUGAAAGAGAUUCUACUUCUCAGACUUGAAUAAAUUUUAUGUGGCUUCUUUUCUAAAAGUCCACCUGCCAUACAGGUCUCAGAUUCCUCUAUCUUUUUAAUCAACCGGAGCUAUAGUCCAGUGAUGCUGCUGCUCUAAAGACCUAACUUUAUCAGAAAGUGAGCUGGGACCAAGAGCCUCAAACUUGAGUGCACAGAUGAUCAGGACCAGGAAACUGGUCAGACAUGUAAUGCUGAUGAUGAGGAAGCUACAUUACAAAGGAGAUUUCCUUUGCUGCCUUUUACAAACAUCCACGAGGACAGAUGAUGCAUUUAUGGUGUAAAACAUAUUCUCUGCACAUGUAUGAGUGAAC